GCCCCCAUAGCUCAACGGAUAGAGUAGCCGCGUCCUAAGCGGUUGAUGGGAGUUCAAUUCUCUCUGGGGGUAC
rnacentral:tRNA from 1 species